CAGGCUUAACACAUGCAAGUCGAGGGGCAUCGGGGUAGUGCUUGCACUACUGCCGGCGACCGGCGCACGGGUGAGUAACACGUAUGGAACCUGCCCGCAGCAGGGGGAUAAGCGGAAGAAAUUCCGUCUAAUACCGCGUAACAACGUUGGGAGGCAUCUCCCGAUGUUUAAAGAUUUAUCGGCUGCGGAUGGCCAUGCGGCGCAUUAGCUAGUCGGCGGGGUAACGGCCCACCGAGGCGACGAUGCGUAGGGGUUCUGAGAGGAAGGUCCCCCACACUGGUACUGAGACACGGACCAGACUCCUACGGGAGGCAGCAGUGAGGAAUAUUGGUCAAUGGCCGAGAGGCUGAACCAGCCAAGUCGCGUGAGGGAAGACGGCCCUACGGGUUGUAAACCUCUUUUGUCGGGGAGCAAAGAGAGCCACGUGUGGCUCAUUGAGAGUACCCGAAGAAAAAGCAUCGGCUAACUCCGUGCCAGCAGCCGCGGUAAUACGGAGGAUGCGAGCGUUAUCCGGAUUUAUUGGGUUUAAAGGGUGCGCAGGCGGAGGUGCAAGUCAGCGGUCAAAUUGCGGGGCUCAACCCCGUACUGCCGUUGAAACUGCAUCCCUUGAGUGCGCGAGAAGUAUGCGGAAUGCGUGGUGUAGCGGUGAAAUGCAUAGAUAUCACGCAGAACUCCGAUUGCGAAGGCAGCAUACCGGCGCGCAACUGACGCUCAUGCACGAAAGCGUGGGUAUCGAACAGGAUUAGAUACCCUGGUAGUCCACGCAGUAAACGA
rnacentral:rRNA from 1 species